rnacentral:lncRNA from 1 species
GACGGUUUUCAUUUCACUCUUGUGAGAAGUUGAAUUCUCUCUCUCAUUCUUUCGCAGAAACGCAUGUAAACUGGAUCCUCCUCUCAAUAUGCUAUGUUUUGACUUGAGGACAAGGUCUGUCUUGAUCGGAGGGGUAUUGUAAGGAACCUAAGGUUGUCGGCUAAAGAGAAUUAGGGAAAUGAAGAAGAGAACUAGGAAAUGAAACAAAGCUCACGUGAGAAGCACAUGACAGAUUAAACGGCUGAGAUACUUCAAUAAAAUAAGGGAUUUUUACCUAAAUAUGUCAUAUAGCAAACCUUAUU